rnacentral:rRNA from 1 species
GACGAACGCUGGCGGCGUGCUUAACACAUGCAAGUCGAACGAAGUGGCGAACGGGUGAGUAACGCGUAAUCAACCUGCCCUUCAGCGGGGGACAACAGCUGGAAACGACUGCUAAUACCGCAUACUGAAGGAGGGGAUUGCGUCUGAUUAGCUUUGUGGAGGGGUAACGGCCCACCAAGGCGAUGAUCAGUAGCGGGGCUGAGAGGAUGAACGGCCACAUAGGGACUGAGCAACGGCCCAGACUCAUACGGGAGGCAGCAGUGGGGAAUCUUCCGCAAUGGACGAAAGUCUGACGGAGCAACGCCGCGUGAGUGAUGACGGCCUUCGGGGUGUAAAGCUCUGUUAAUCGGGACGCGGUACCGGAAUAGAAAGCCACGGCUAACUACGUGCCAGCCGCCGCGGUAAUAC